AACGCGAAGAACCUUACCCAGGCUUGACAUGCAGUAGACAGUGUUAGAAAUAACACCUUCCUUCGGGACUGCUGCACAGGUGCUGCAUGGCUGUCGUCAGCUCGUGCCGUGAGGUGUUUGGUUAAGUCCAGCAACGAGCGCAACCCUUAUCACUAGUUGCCAACGCGUAAUGGCGGGAACUCUAGUGAGACUGCCUGGGUUAACCAGGAGGAAGGUGAGGAUGACGUCAAGUCCGCAUGGCCCUUAUGUCUGGGGCUACACACGUGCUACAAUGGUCGGUACAGAAGGCAGCGAAACCGCAAGGCGGAGCAAAUCCCAAAAACCGGCCUCAGUUCAGAUUGUAGUCUGCAACUCGACUACAUGAAGACGGAAUUGCUAGUAAUGGCGGGUCAGCAACACCGCCGUGAAUACGUUCCCGGGCCUUGUACACACCGGCUAC
rnacentral:rRNA from 1 species